AGCAGCCGCGGUAAUUCCAGCUCCAAUAGCGUAUAUUAAAGUUGUUGCAGUUAAAAAGCUCGUAGUUGAAUUUCGGGAUCAAUACGUUGGUCGUGCUUUCGGGUACGUACUGGCGUCAUUGGUUUCUCUCUUCUGACGAACCAUGAUGUCAUUAAUUUGGUGUUAUGGGGAGUUAGGACUGUUACUUUGAAAAAAUUAGAGUGUUUAAAGCAGGCUUACGCUUGAAUACAUUAGCAUGGAAUAAUGAAAUAGGACGUUUGAUCCUAUUUUGUUGGUUUCUAGGAUUGACGUAAUGAUUAAUAGGGAUAGUUGGGGGCAUUAGUAUUCAAUUGUCAGAGGUGAAAUUCUUGGAUUAUUGAAGACUAACUACUGCGAAAGCAUUUGCCAAGGAUGUUUUCAUUAAUCAAGAACGGAAGUUAGGGGAUCGAAGACGAUCAGAUACCGUCGUAGUCUUAACCAUAAACUAUGCCGACUAGGGAUCGGAUGAUGUUAAUUUUUUAAUGACUCAUUCGGCGCCUUA
rnacentral:rRNA from 1 species